rnacentral:rRNA from 1 species
UGGGGAAUAUUGCACAAUGGGCGCAAGCCUGAUGCAGCAACGCCGCGUGAGGGACGACGGCCUUCGGGUUGUAAACCUCUUUUAGUAGGGAAGAAGCGAAAGUGACGGUACCUGCAGAAAAACGCACCGGCUAACUACGUGCCAGCAGCCGCGGUAAUACGUAGGGUGCGAGCGUUGUCCGGAAUUAUUGGGCGUAAAGAGCUCGUAGGCGGUCUGUCGCGUCUGCUGUGAAAACCCGAGGCUCAACCUCGGGACCUGCAGUGGGUACGGGCAGACUAGAGUGCGGUAGGGGAGAAUGGAAUUCCUGGUGUAGCGGUGGAAUGCGCAGAUAUCAGGAGGAACACCGAUGGCGAAGGCAGUUCUCUGGGCCGUAACUGACGCUGAGGAGCGAAAGCGUGGGGAGCGAACAGGAUUAGAUACCCUGGUAGUCCACGCCGUAAACGUUGGGCGCUAGAUGUGGGGCACCAUUCCACGGUUUCCGUGUCGCAGCUAACGCAUUAAGCGCCCCGCCUGGGGAGUACGGCCGCAAGGCUAAAACUU